GACCCCUCUGCUGUCACCAUCUGGGGCCACACGAGGGUUAUGGGUGCAGGAGGGGGGAUGUCACCUCCCUGCUGACCCGGGGACCCCCUUCCCUCCCAAAAUCCCCCCCAGGGGUUCUGGUGGAGCCCGAAAUCUGCUACGUGUUGGACGCCGUCCUCUUCCUCUACGGCCUCGUCCUCACCGGCCUCUACUGCCGCCUCAAGUUCCAGGCUCGGCGAGCGCGGCGAGCACCGGAGCAGAAAAGGGAAGAGGCCGUUUAUGCUGUGAGUCAGAGUGGGGGGUGUCUGUCUGUCUGUC